rnacentral:rRNA from 1 species
GAUGAACGCUAGCGGCAGGCUUAAUACAUGCAAGUCGAGGGGUAGCAAGAUUGUAGCAAUACAAUUGUUGACGACCGGCAAACGGGUGCGGAACACGUACACAACCUUCCUACAAGUGGGGAAUAGCCCAGAGAAAUUUGGAUUAAUACCCCGUAACAUAGCGAUGUGGCAUCACAUUGCUAUUAUAGCUUCGGCGCUUGUUGAUGGGUGUGCGGCUGAUUAGAUAGUUGGCGGGGUAACGGCCCACCAAGUCUACGAUCAGUAGCUGAUGUGAGAGCAUGAUCAGCAACACGGGCACUGAGACACGGGCCCGACUCCUACGGGAGGCAGCAGUAAGGAAUAUUGGACAAUGGAAGCAAGUCUGAUCCAGCCAUGCCGCGUGAAGGAUUAAGGUCCUCUGGAUUGUAAACUUCUUUUAUAAGGGACGAAAAAAGGUCUUUCUAGAUCGUCUGACGGUACCUUAUGAAUAAGCACCGGCUAACUCCGUGCCAGCCGCCGCCGUAAGAC